rnacentral:rRNA from 1 species
UCGUGCGAGAAGUAUCUUCGGAUAUGAGUAGAGCGGCGGACGGGUGAGUAACGCGUAGGAAUCUACCUAGUAGAAGGGGAUAGCCCGGGGAAACCCGGAUUAAUACCGUAUACCUCCUUCGGGAGAAAGAAGGCCUCUCUUUGAAGCUUUCGCUACUAGAUGAGCCUGCGUAAGAUUAGCUUGUUGGUGAGGUAAAGGCUCACCAAGGCUACGAUCUUUAGCUGGUCUGAGAGGACGAUCAGCCACAUUGGGACUGAGACACGGCCCAGACUCCUACGGGAGGCAGCAGUGGGGAAUAUUGGACAAUGGGCGCAAGCCUGAUCCAGCCAUACCGCGUGUGUGAAGAAGGCCUUCGGGUUGUAAAGCACUUUAAGCAGGGAGAAAAAGUUAUAAGUUAAUACCUUAUAACCCUGAUGUUACCUGCAGAAUAAGCACCGGCUAAUUCCGUGCCAGCAGCCGCGGUAAUACGGAAGGUGCAAGCGUUAAUCGGAAUUACUGGGCGUAAAGCGCGCGUAGGUGGUUUGUUAAGUUGGAUGUGAAAGCCCUGGGCUCAACCUAGGAACUGCAUCCAAAACUAAUUCACUAGAGUACGAUAGAGGGAGGUAGAAUUCAUAGUGUAGCGGUGGAAUGCGUAGAUAUUAUGAAGAAUACCAGUGGUGAAGGCGGCCUCCUGGAUCUGUACUGACACUGAGGUGCGAAAGCGUGGGUAGCGAACAGGAUUAGAUACCCUGGUAGUCCACGCCGUAAACGAUGACAACUAGC